AAAGAAAACAGCAGUAAACAACUGUCUGGCUCUUUAUUCCACAGAAAUAAUAUUCUAUUGCGUAUGUUGUUAGAAACAGUGAUUUCAUUGGAUUUCUUCUUUGUUUUGUUGAAGUCAAUUAAGAACUAAUUAUUAUUUACAAUGACAACCUGUCCAGAGGUGGAGACAACAGUUAAAUAGAACAACACAACACACAGACAUCAGACAUUAAAAGAGAUCACCAUGACAGAUACACAAGACAGAUAUACAUGGCAACAGGGCUUUCAUUGGUAGCAGUACUGCUAAAAACUCUGUGCACCUCUAUCGAGUCGAAUAGGUUUUGAUUUUGCAUUUUUUUGCAUAGAAUGAUAGAAUGAUAGAAACCAUAGUGCUCGUCAGAUCUGUUGUUACUCAGACUUGUAGGAAAACCUCUGAGUUUGAGCACCUCGUUUGGUAGAUUUUGUAAUGUUAUUGAUCUUCAACCAGAUAUGAAGGAGAGGAGAAAACAUGAAGGGGAAAGAGGAAGGUGGAAGUCUCCGGGAUUGAACCCUUACCACUAGGAUUACAUCCUGAAUCCAGGAUGCAACGCUACCACUAGACCAAACUCAAACUAGUCAUGGAACAGAUAAAGUUAUUUUACAGUUCAACCUCCCCAGAGGUCCACAUGAAGAAAAAGCAAGAAUGAACACUCAAAUGAUCAACUUGACCAGGCAGUCCCAGAACCUCUCUCUGGAGAGACCAACCCUCCUCCCAGCAUCACCCCUCUUCCUUUACCUGAACACGGUGACGACGUCAAGUCUGUGGGACCCGCACCUUCUCAACCCUCUACCUUGGGUCUGAAUGGUGACAGAAACAUGCCGGUGGUCCGGGGACUGGGCUCAGCUGACCCAGAAGAGGUGAAGAGGCUGAAGGACACCAGCUUCUUCAUCUGUAAUCGAUAGCUGCUUCUAUGAUUAGGGUUUUCCCAGCAUGACAACGACCCGAAAUACACAGCCAGGGC